CCUGCCCUCCCCGCCGGGGGUCUGCGCCUCGAGUCCGCAGCGGCGGCGGCUGCGGGCGGCGGCGGUGGUGGUGGAGCCGGCGGGAGCGGGGGGAAGGAAGGAAGCGAGAGCGCGGCGGGGCUCAGGCGCUCCGCAAUGCCACAGUAACAGCGUUCCCGUUGCAAGCUGGAAUUUCAUCCCCAGAGAUCCACCCCCUCGAUUCUCAAAGCUCCAGCACCUUUUUACUCAAGCAUCUUCAUAAAGCUAGAAAAUGCACUGACUUCACAAGACUUGGUUGCUGGAAGCCUUCCAUGUGAUCAAACAGUACUUUCAGACAAACUAAUUUUCUAUUAAAUGAAGUUUAAUUUUGAGGUGCUUGAGUAGGAGCUCGC